AGAGAGAGAGAGAGAGAGCACUCGCGCUCACCGACUUGUGGGGAACUCACACCUGACAAAGGACCUUUCUUAUGGGGAAAGUUCAGAAUUGUGGGGAACUCUCUCGUUCCCCACAAAUAUGGUCAUGGGGUUUUUUGAAUUCUACGUGUUCUACUGAUAAUAUUUAUUCGAUUUGUGGUCAUUUUUGAAAAAAUCCCCAUAAGUCCGUAAAAUUGACUCGCAGUAAUUUUCUCACUGCACCGUAAAACGAAUGUUUGAGGAUGCUGGGAAAUGUUCAUUCGGAACGCAGCGGAAUUUAAACUGGUCCCCAUAUGAUACCAAUUUAUUGCGGGCAAUGGCUGCUCCGAGAAUAUGUGGCCUAAUGGCUAUCCUGUAAGAACAAACUACGGAUUUAUAUGAAUUCAGCACCCCCGGGAUAUGGUUUUCGGGUUUUCACCACAAGAGCAAAUUAUACAACUUUAUUCUUGAAAAUGUUAGAGACUGAGACUUGGAGUCAAAGUCAACAGACACGCUUGCAUGGACAUGAAGGAUGUAAAGAACUAGAGUAUUAUAACUGAAAGCAUUUUGUCUGGAUUUGUGUAUGGAAACAGAAGGAUUUAGUA